rnacentral:rRNA from 1 species
AACGAACGCUGGCGGCAUGCCUAACACAUGCGAGUCGAACGAGACCUUCGGGUCUAGUGGCGCACGGGUGCGUAACGCGUGGGAACCUGCCCUUAGGUUCGGAAUAACUCCCCGAAAGGGGUGCUAAUACCGGAUAAUGUCUUCGGACCAAAGAUUUAUCGCCUUUGGGUGGGCCCGCGUUGGAUUAGCUAGUUGGUAGGGUAAAAGCCUACCAAGGCGACGAUCCAUAGCUGGUCUGAGAGGAUGAUCAGCCACACUGGGACUGAGACACGGCCCAGACUCCUACGGGAGGCAGCAGUGGGGAAUAUUGGACAAUGGGCGAAAGCCUGAUCCAGCAAUGCCGCGUGAGUGAUGAAGGCCUUAGGGUUGUAAAGCUCUUUUACCCGGGAUGAUAAUGACAGUACCGGGAGAAUAAGCGCCGGCUAACUCCGUG